rnacentral:piRNA from 1 species
CUUCAUUAUAUUGCCAUGGUC